AAAUUUUACUCAUUCACUUUUCCAACAAGCCUAACCAAACCAAAACCUCUUUUUUCUAAAACAAAACCCCUUUUUUACCUUUUUUAUUUUUUAAUUAAAUAAAUAAAUUUAUUAUUUUCAUUUUUCAUAUAUUUAAUCAAUGCAUCUUUCUCAUUCCAUUUCCACACCCCUCGCUAAUAAUUAGUCCUCCUUCUUCGAUCUGCUUCUUUCUCAGUUUCAGAGCUCCUCGUCACUCUUAAUAAUCUCUUUCAUUUUCUUCUUCUUCUUCUGAACCCUAAACUAAACCAUUAUCCAGCUCGUGUCGUUUUCAAAAUGCAGUUUUUGUUCCAAUGAAGAAGUGAAAUAGUAGUAAGAAAUAAGAGAGAGAAAGAGCGAGAGAGAAAGGUUUCGAAAAUGCGAGUGAAGGAAAUGCACCCGUUGUGCUGCAUCUCGCUUGAGAGUCCGGGGAUCGGGAGCGACUCGCCGGAGCCGGAGGCGGCGGCGUUGUCGAGGACGAGGAGUCUUCCGGCCGGCGGAUCUGAUGGCAUUGCGCGGCGGGGAUCGGAGGCCACGGUGGCCGGAGUUCUCUAUAAGUGGACUAAUUACGGCAAGGGAUGGAGAUCCCGCUGGUUCCUCCUCCGCAAUGGCGUCCUCUCCUACGCCAAGAUCCGCUGGCCGGAAAACCUCAACCUCCUCUCUCCGGUCGACGACGUCCGCCUCAUCGGUGAAGUCACUGCCAACCGCCUCGCCAGAGAAGCCGCCUCCGCCGCCGCCACCGUGCGGCGGAAGAAUCACAAACCUCCUUCCUCCUCCUCCUCCUCCGCCGUCGUCCAUCUCAAGAUCUCGUCAUUCAGGGAGAGCAAGUCAGACGAUAGACGGUUCUAUAUAUUCACAUCAACAAAGACUCUCCAUCUGAGAACCGAUUCGAGGAAGGACCGUGUGGCGUGGAUACAAGCUUUGGUUUCAACCCGCGGAUUGUACCCACUUCGACCACUCAGUGACCAUCUCUCCCUCGCGCCAAAUAAUAUAUCUGUGUCAGCCGAGAGGCUUAAGAAACGCUUGCUUGAAGUGGGUAGCAGUGAGAGUCUUGUCAAGGAUUGCGAGCAAAUCAUGCUCGCUGAGUUCUCCGAAUUGCAAGAGCAACUUCAGAUCCUAUGUCAGGAACGAAUGAAUUUGCUUGAUACAAUAAGGCAGCUGGAGGCUGCUAAUAUUGAACCUGAGGCCACUGCCUUGCAUGACAGUGAAUACCAAUUAACAAAGAAUGAAUUUUCAAGUCUAGGACGUGGAAAAUAUAGUGAAUGCAGUACUACUGAAUCAUCUGAUGAUAUUGAGAAACAGGAGAUGGAGGAAGUGUCAGAUGAAGAUGAAAUCUCAUAUUAUGACACUAAAGAGUAUUUUACAGAACAUGGUUUUAGGUGUGGGUCAACAGGAGAUUUGGAUUCAAUGAACAUGUCUGGGGAAGGUAACACACAGUGCAUUGAUUUGGAGAACAGUCUUGUUGGGAAGACGAUCAAUGAUUUUGGGUACCCUCAGAUAGCAAGGCGAAAGAAGCUUCCAGAUCCUGUUGAGAAAGAGAAAGGCGUUAGUCUUUGGUCAAUUAUCAAAGACAAUGUGGGCAAAGAUCUAACACGAGUGUGUCUUCCUGUAUACUUUAAUGAGCCAAUAUCAUCUCUUCAGAAAUGUUUUGAGGACUUUGAGUACUCUUUUCUUCUGGAUCGAGCUUAUGAGUAUGGAAAAUCUGGAAACAGUCUCCUUCGGGCACUGAAUGUUGCUGCCUUUGCAAUUUCUGGAUAUGCAUCAUCUGAAGGUCGUCAUUGUAAACCCUUUAAUCCAUUGUUAGGGGAAACUUACGAAGCUCAUUUUCCUGACAAAGAAGUUCGCUUCUUUUCUGAGAAGGUGAGUCACCAUCCAACUGUCGUUGCCUGCCACUGUGAAGGUAGAGGUUGGAAAUUUUGGGCUGACAGUAACAUUCGGUCAAAGUUUUGGGGAAGGUCAAUUCAGCUUGACCCAGUGGGAGUUCUGACCCUAGAGUUUGAUGAUGGUGAAAUAUUUCAGUGGAGCAAGGUCACGACUACAAUUUAUAAUCUUAUCCUUGGCAAAAUAUAUUGUGAUCAUCAUGGGAACAUGGACAUCCGAGGUAAUCGUCAAUAUUCGUGCAGACUCCAGUUCAAAGAACAGGCGAUUCUUGAUCGAAACCCUCACCAGGUACAUGGCUUUGUUGAAGAUGUAAUGGGAAAAAAGGUUGCCACAUUAUUUGGCAAGUGGGAUGACAGCAUUUAUUAUGUUAAUGGCGAAGUUAAUGUGAAGCCAAAAGAUUUCACUAUGUCAGACACAAACUUGCUGUGGAAAAGGACUAAGCCACCUUCUAAUCUCACCCGCUACAAUUUGACAUCAUUUGCCAUCACACUCAAUGAGCUUACUCCCGGGCUAAAGCCUUUUCUGAUCCCGGGUAAUUUGAUCACGGAUUAAAGGAGAAGCUUCCACCCACGGAUUCCAGGCUGAGACCAGAUCAGCGGCAUCUAGAGAAUGGGGAAUACGAGAAGGCUAAUAUGGAAAAACAAAGGUUGGAAAAGAGGCAAAGAAUGUCAAGGAAAAUGCAAGAAAAUGGAUGGCAGCCUAGGUGGUUCCACAGACAGAGUGAAAAUGGAACGUUCCGAUAUACUGGCGGGUAUUGGGAAGCGAGAGCUCAAGGAAGAUGGAAUGGAUGCCCAAAUAUCUUCGGUGAAAUUCAUGAAGGCAAUUUUGAUCCUUUAGGUGCAUCUUGAUGUUAGUUCAGAUAAUGAUAAUGAUAAUGAUAAUGAAUGCAAAUUACUAUGUGGAGGGUUUAUCUUGAACCUUCUUGCAUGGAGGCAACUUGUUUUACUGAAUCGAAGGGGAGAGUACUCUUUAAACGAGGCUCGUUGAAGUUCUGGUUGGGCAGGUUUGUGGAUUGUCCUUGUGUUACGACUUUGACAACAAAAAACAAGGAGAGUGAUAACAUAUAUCACUUGAUGCGAUUCUAUGUGAAAGUUUCUUUUUGAAUUUAAAUGAUUUUAGUCGCCUGCCGCUGGUGAAAGUUGUAAUUAACCUAAUAUGGAACAAGCUUUGCACGUACACAGGUCUUCUGCAGAGAGCUGUGGUCUACUGGGAAUAUCAAACAAACUGAGGCUGUUACUUCAUCUAGAUGAAAAUAUAUUUGAGCAAAGAUUUCAGCUUAGCAACACUUGUUAGAUUAGGUUGUCUAGAUUGUAAGCUUUUUUUCCCAUUUAAAUUUUGUUAGUAUGUAAUUAUUUGGGGGUAUUAGCCUAUGUAAGAUUCUCUCCGUUGAUCCUGAUAUUCUUGAAAAAGCUACUGACUUGGCCGAAAGGCUAUCAAUUUGUUUCAUAUUUGUUUUCGUUUUCUAAUUAAUAAAUUGAUAAAUAGACAAGAUGUGUUUUCUCCCA